rnacentral:lncRNA from 1 species
GGAUGCAGAAAAGAGGAGGUUCCUUGGCAAGACAAACCUCUCCACGGGGUGUACCACCGGCAGAUAGUGGAUGCGGCUCACAUGACAAAAUCCUACCAGUGGUUGGAAAAGGCAGGACUGAAAGACAGCACUGAGGCACUAAUCCUAGCAGCACAAGAACAGGCACUCAGCACCAGAUCAAUAGAAGCUGGAGUCUACCACACCAGGCAAGACCCAAGGUGCAGACUGUGCAAAGAGGCCUCUGAG